CAAGCUCUAGGUUAACUGUUAAACCUUUGGACUUCAAAUCCAACAUUGAAAUUUCUAUUCGGGCUUUA
rnacentral:tRNA from 1 species